rnacentral:lncRNA from 1 species
UUCUUUUAAACCUUCUAAUUUGGCUGUACAAACACAAAGAUAAGCUGUUGCUAUUGCAAAUGUAGAUAUGUGAGAAGAAGAAUCAAACUUUUCAUUUUCGAUCUUCUUGUUCAAGAUCCAUUCCUUUAGCUUUUGAAUGUUUUGGUGUGUGAAUUCUAAAGUGCUUCUAACUAAACCAUGUUUUGUUUGGGGGAAUUUAAGGUUUAGGCUUUUGUUGUUGGGUCCUUCCGCAUCUUUCCAUGCUUUUGCAUAGAUUUUUGCAAGAUCUUUUGGAUCAUUUAUAACUGACCUAUUAUAUAAUGGCACUUGUUUGGGGGUUGGUACAGAGGAUUCUUCCAUGCAAAUUUGAGCCCAUGAUUUGAUAAAUGAAGUUGAGCUUCUUCCAUCGAAGAUUGCAUGGUGAUUGGUUAUUCCAAUCGAAAAACCUUUGUUUUGAAAUUUGGUUACCUAUAUAUUGAGAAUAUAAAUAAUUAAUUAAUUGUUACCUUCCAACUAUAGCAAUCAAAUUUAAAGUGUUUACAAAUAUAAUACAAUCCAAAGUUAUAUAUAUAGCAAAACGUUGAAAUAACCAAUCACUAAUCAAUUAAUAAUAGUCGUCUAUUAAUAAUAGUCUAUUACUAAUAUUGGAAACAUAAAUAAUUAAGUGAUUGGUACAAUUGCAAGUAUUCCAAGAUCUAUAUUUGGAUUUUAUAAUCUAUCUAGCUAUUAGUGAUAUUUUAGAGAUAUUACAAGUCUAUUACUAGUAAUAUUCUAUCAAUGAAAGAAAUAAUGUAUUACUAAUGGAGAAAUUUAUAACGAGAAUGUCUAUCAUUGAUAAAUAUUUUACAAUACCUGUAUAAUUCAACUUUAACGCAUGGUUGUUAUACAUUUACUUAUUUAGCUAUAAAAGUUAUAUUCUUUAUAAUAAUUGUUAUAACUAAUCUUAAUUAAAUAAGGUUUGGUUCUUAACCAUGCAUUUAAGUGACUUAAAUGCAGUACGUAUGUUUUUUCCUUUCAAUUUAGUCCUUUAAAAAUUUUUAAUUUAGCAUUUUUGGUUAGUGAAUAAUGUCAAGAAAUUUUUUAGAAAGAAAAGAAAAAAAAGCUAUCUUAUAAGCAAACAAAAAGUAAAAAUUUCAACUAACUUCGUAGAAACAAACAGGGGGAAGAAAUUAGAAACCUUUUUUUCUUUUUGUUAAAAUUGAAACAGAUGAACAAGAAGAAGAACUAGCUGAAGAUGAAAAACAAAGAUAAUAAAACAUCAAAUGAAAGUGAUGAAGAAGAAAAUAUAAGGUGGGAAAACAAAAUAAGAAAAAGGCAAUAGAAAAACUUAAAUAUUGUGAUAUUCCGCUAUAUCAACCUAUCUAAAUUGAAUAUAUAGUGAUUGUCUACGAUUGAUUGUUCUUAUUAUUAAUUCCAACAAUUUCUUGUUGCAGAAGAAAGAAAGAGAAAAUAAAGAAAGAAAUAAAGUGAUAAUUAUCUGCAAUAUUGAACACAAAAUCUCAAAAUUUUAAAAAUAUUUUACUGCAUCUUAAAAUCUUUUGGUGUUUUCUUACCAAAAUUAACCUAAACGUAAGUAUAAUUGUUCUUUAUUUAUUUGGCAAUAUGCAUGAUUUAUUGUUUUCAGAUAAAAGGCAAAAAAACAAAAGCUUUUAUAAAAUACAGUAAAUUUUAUUUAGAUUAUGUCAUUUACCAUCAUUUUUCUAAGACUUUUUAUGAUUAAUUUCAUAAAUUUUCAAACAUCUUUAAUUUCCGAAGGACUUAUUCUCAUCCAUUUUGUUCUUAGAGAUACCUUAUUCACAAGGUAUACAUAAAUUUCUACAAACAUUUUUUAAAAACUUAUAAAAACAACCCAAAAUAUAAAAAUAAUAAAUUAUUAAAUAAAAUAAGUAAUCUAUUAUUUUCGAAUAACUAAACAUAUCUAAAUUUUAGAAGGAUAUAAUUCACAUUAAGAACGAAUUUAUUAUAGGCACCUGCCCCUCACAUUAUCGAUUUUUUAUUUUAAUAUUAAUUUUGAAGGAUUAGAUUACAAUAUAUAUUAACUUUAUUUGACCUAAAUUCUGCUUAUGCUAUAAUGGUUGUGCCCCUAAAUCUUGUCUGUUACAAUUAUUUUUACAAAAUAGAUUUUAUUCCAAAUAUCAAUAAUUUUCUUUCCUCAAAAAUUAAAUUUCUUUCUAGAUUUUCAUAAAAUAAAUUUUAUUCAAAACAUCACUAAUUUUCUUUUCUCAAUCAUCAAUAAUUUUAUUUCCUCAAAUAUCCGAUUUAUUUCUAAAUUUGAAUGAUUUUCUAAAAGGGAGAUAAUUUGAUUUCUUAGAAGGAAAAUAAUUUGAUUUAAAAGAGAGAUAAUAUUUUAAAAAGAGAAAAAAACUGAUCUCGAAAAAAAUCUUAACCUAUUUCCAGUCUUUCUUUAUUACUACAAUUUCUGAAACGUUGAGAUAUCUUUUAAACCGUGUUUAUUUUACUGUGCUCGGUGCUCCCUGUAUAAAAUUUAUAGAUCCGCCACUAGUUCACAUAUUGGAAAUAUCUACACGGAUGCAAACUGAUACUCUAUUAUCGCCUACUUAAGAAUUAGUGGUUAAGAACCUGAAUAGCAAUAACUGCAGCACGAUCAUGAGAGACUGUCAAUACAGGAACAAGAGGAUGAAAAUCCGAAACUUCUCGAAAUCCGUUACCAGAAAGAUGAUCAAAAUCAUCGUCGGACUCCGCCACCGUCAUGGAAACCCCAUUACCUUCUACAAAUUCAAUGACAGGUACAUCGGAUUGCGAUGGCCAAACGAGGUUGCCAGCCAAAGGAAGAUGGUGACAAAGAGCGAGAGAAAGAGAGCUCUUGAGCUUCGAAACAAUGACAUCGUAAGACGAGAUCUGAUUGGAUGGAAAUUCGUAGAAAAAAAGACGUUGAAUUGGAUAAAACCUUAACCAGAACAAAUCAAAGAAAGUGAGGGGAAGAGAUAUGGGCGCUGCCGCUGUGGGAGGAGGGGAGACUUUGGAGACCUCAAUUACUUUCAGAGAAGGAAAGUUAGCCAUCGGAAAUAAUAGAAAAGUGAGAAGAUAAUGGGUUGGAUCCUUUCAAAUCUUUGGGGUCUUUUAAAGGUCCAAAAACGUUGAAAACAACAAACAAAUCAUGACGUAUUGGCUUUCGUCUUUUUUACUCCUUGAAAUUAUGAAAUGGAAAGUCUUCUAGAAUUUCAAAAAUAUCGCUCUAGCCUGUAGCCUGUAGCCUGUAGCCUGUAUAUAUCAUUAUGAACGAAUAAACCAAAAAUAUUUUUACUCUUUCUAGUACAAAUACUAAUAGAUUCUAAUUUUUCUAAAUUUUUUUAGAAUUUUUAUUAUUUAAAAUAAUUUUUUAUAACAUAUAGGUGUAUUUUCAAAUAUAGAAUACAAAUUAAAACUUUUAUAAAAAUAUAGCAAAAUUUUAAAUCCAUCGAAAUCAAACGAUAAAAUUUAAAAUUUUACUGAAUUUUGUAAAUAUUUUCAAGAGUUUUGUCUAACGUAAAUGUCUAUUACAUCUGAUUUUUAUUAUAAAAUAUAAAUAUUUAGUCGAUUUUUAUAAAUUAUACUUUUAAAAUACGUAUUUCAAAUGUAAUAUUAUACCUGUCCUUUCAAUUUCAAUUCAUAUUUAAUUGUCUUUAUAUAUCACAUAUUAACUAGUGUACGAUUAUUCAUUAAAUAUAAGAGAAAUGCAUUCAAUUAUUGUUUGAAAAAGUAAAACCAUUUAAAGAAUGAUAUUCACAUGGUGAGAAAUGCAUUAAAUAUACCAAAGUCAAUCUCAAUUCGGUAUAAAUUCCAAAUUUACUCUAUCUUGGUAUAAUUAAAAUCUUCAUGUCUUAUCAUUUUUCCUUUUCAAGUUGCAGGGUUAAAUUUGUAAUUUAAGCUUUAAUUUAUAUAUAAAAAAUGGUAAUGGAUAAAACUUUUGUUAAAUAAUUGGCUAAUCUACUAUUAGGGAAAUAAUUGGCUAAUCUUUGUUUUUCACUAGUUGGAAGGAAAAUCUUCUAGAAUUUCAAAAAUAUCAUCAUUUGUAAAAUACACCAACAUAAAUCAAAAUAUUUAUAAAAUAUAACAGAAUUUUAGAUGUAUCACUAUUGGUAUUGAAGACAAAAAAAGUCUAUUAGUGUCUAUCAUUGAUAUAAUCUAAAUUUUACUAUAUUUUGUAAGUAUUUUCAACUAUUUUGUCAUUUAAAAUAAUUUCUCCAAUAUAAAUGUCUACUACAUCUGAUUUUUGUCAUAAAAUAUAAAUAUUUUGACAACUUUUAUAAAUUAUACUUUUAAAUAUUCAUUUCAAAUGUAAUAUUAAAAGUCAUCUCUUUUGAAGUGUAUUAUUAAUGGUCUUUUAUCAAAUGAGUUUAAAUAAGAGAAAUUGUAAAAGAAAAGUAAAAUGGACAAACUAUUUACACUUUGUGACAAAAGUGUAAUGAGUUUGGGUUUUUUAGUGAUUUUUUUGCCACAGUGUAAAUUGUUUGUAUUUUUUUUUAGAAAAUGAUACUUGUAUGGUUGGUAGGCGAGGUCGAUACCCUUUUAGCUCCCUCAUCAUUCUCAAUAGUUUGUAUUUUUUUUUUAUUAAAUCUAUCAAAAUCGAACCUUAAUUUGUUUCUUCAGGAUAUUUAUGUAUUUAAAACUCAUAGAGAAGGAUUUUGUAAUGACUCAAACUCUUAAAUUAAGCUGAGGUUCUUACCUAAAAGAUAAAUAUCAAUUUUGGCACUUUCUUGUAAAGAGAAAAACUAAAUCUUUAUUAAAAUAAUUUUCAAACAACUGUUCAUAAAACAAAAUUUAGCGAAAUCUAUAAAAUUCCAUGAAAACAAACUCGAGCUAAUUUUAACUAAUUAAAGAAAAUAAAUAAAGAAAUAAAAUGUUUACAAUCGAAAAGACUAAAAAUUAAUAAAUGAAAAGCGAAAGCAAAAUUGAAUCCUUCCAUAUGGCAUGUCAUGGACCCUUACUGUCGUUGACCAACUUUUCAGAUCCUCUACCAUUGCCUGAAAUAUUAAAAAUAGAAAAAUGGCGAGUAUAUAAAAAUAUAGCCAGCAACGGAUCCACCUAUUGGCCCCUCUAAGUGAUCUAUUAACUUCUCAUUAGGAGAUCCCAUAAGGUAAUAAUAAUAUCGUUUGUCCCAUGGAGCACACGUGAGCAAGUGGUACCGUAGGAACACUUUUAGUCGUGCGAGUGAUCCAUAGGUACACCUCUAAUUGUGCGAGUGAUUUCGUCAAAACACCCUUAGGCAUGCAAGUGAUUCUGUUAAAACACACCUCUAGUCGUGCGAAUGACUCCAUUUGAACCCAAUACAACUGAUACUUAACCGUGCAUAUGAUAUUUAGGUACACGUUGUGCAAGUGAUCCCGUAGGAACGCCUCUAGUCGUGUGAGUGACCCCAAAGGUAGAAACACAAUACAUGUGGGGUAAAAGCCUAACAACCAAAAUUAACAAACAUCAUAGUCCAAAAACAUGUGACAAUCAACAUGAAUCAUCAGUCAUAGCAAUUCAUAAUCAUGCAAUUCAUAAAACAUCGAUAAUCACCAUAAUACACCAACUAUCAACAACAAAAUCUCGUUAUGUAUUUGUAGUUAUUAUCAAUACAUAAUCAUAAAAUACGUGCAGAGUCUUAAAUUUAGUUCGAAGGUUCAAUAGUAGAAUCUCUUACCUGAUAUUAGCUAAAAGUAUUCCUUUGCUGAUAGUAAUUUUUUUCAAUUAUAUUAAAACAGAUCCUAAAUAGUAAAUUUUUUUUCUCAUAUCCUUAAUUAAUAAAAUUUACCAAUGGCUAGCUAGCAUCUAAAAUUUUUCAACUUAACUUAUCCAAUAACUUAAGUAAGAUUGAAUCAAUUUAAGGUUGAUGGAAAAUUUUCACAAAUUAAUUCCUACAAAAGUUUCCAAUUAAGCCUUAAAAAAAAUCUACCAAUUAGAUUUGAAAUUAAUUUAUCUUUAAUUUAACUUUAAUGACUAAUGGGAAAAUUUUCGCAAAUUAAUCUUUCAAAAACUUCUAGAAGAAAAAGAAUCCAAAUUUUAAUACAAAAAUUAAUUUAUCAAAAGCUUUAACUUAUAUAUAUAUAACCCACAUUAAACAUAUCCAAUUAAUUAUUCUUUACAACUUUAGCCCAUUCCAAUUGGUAUGCUUUAGUAACGAUAGGCUAUAUAAUAAUUGACCAUCACAAACAUAUCACAUACUACGCAUAUAAUUGUAUUACUAUUAUCAUACAAUAAUCUAACCCUCAAUUGAGGAUCCAAUAGUAGAACCCUUAUAUUUGGUUAUGACAAGUUUCCUACGGCAGAUAAAACCACAAUUUCACCUAUGUAACCAAAUUAAAUUAACAAUUUUUGCCAACAAAUUAAUAAUUUCAUUAUCUUAGCUUAUAAAGUUAUCGAAAUAGAGAUCGAAAAAUCCUCUCAACCUUGAUAGAAAAAUUCACCACUUAAAUCUUCAAGCUUUGUGAAAGAGACCUUCCAAAUAAAAGUAACCAAAAUCAAUUGCAAUAAUAAACUUAAUUUAUUUGAUUAUGGAUAUUUGCAGCCUAAUUGUGCUUUCACCUUGAUAAACAUAAAUUAAUUAAAAGGAAUUCCUCUCUAAUUAAUACUAAAAUGUGUUUCUUCUCUAAUUAUUUUUGUUGGAAGAAUGAUUCUAACAAUUCUUUCAAACUGUUUGUUGCGAUGUAGUCUUAAUGUCGAGUAGCUAACAUGUUCAUUUAUUUAAUUUUAAUAAUUAAAUAGGUUUGAAUUCGUCACUAACUAUAUUAAAGUGUGAUUGGUCAUCUAAAAAUUUUUUUAAAAAAAUUGUCUAAAAUUCAUGAGAUUUAAGUUCGGGAGUCUUUAGGAACGUGUUAGCACCCUACAGCACCCAUAAAAAUGAUUACCAAAAUUUAUCUCUUAAACUAAAUUAAAAUGGUUCACAAAACAAGGUUUUUUUAUUUAUCUUUUUAAAUGUCUCAUGGUUCUCAAUUCACACCGAAAAAAAUAAAACCUAAGCAAUAAUUAAUAAUUAUGAGUGUCAUAAGAGCAAUUAGAAAAAUGAAGUUUAUUUUUUGUUUCAAAAUAUGAUUUUAUUUUAUUAUUAUUCACCUUAAAAAUAUUAAAAUAUCAAACUUUAAUAUUUUAAUCUUCAUAAUAAGUAAAAAUAUGAUUUUAUUUUAUUAUUAUUCACCUUAAGAAUAUUAAAAUAUCAAACUUUAAUAUUUUAAUCUUCAUAAUAAGUGUUUAAUGAGAAAUUUCAUGUACAUAAAAUUAAUAAAUUCAUAGAAAACAAUACUUAGCCUCAUUUAAAAUAUGAAAUUGUUUAUAAUUUUAAAGAUAACUUAUUAAUUAAAUUUCAACCCGAGAAAUAGAAAUUUCAUAUAUUCUUGAUAUUUAAGUUAUAAAACCCAUAAAAAACAUUACAUAUUUAAAUUUUUAUAUUCAUAUUAGAAAAUAAAUAAAUAAAUAAUAAUAAUAGUAGCAAUAUAAUGUGAAAUUGAGAAAUACAGGUUGUGAAAUAGUUGUAAAAUAAUAUAGGUGUGAAAUAGUUGCACGAAAACUGUGAAAUAAAAUAAUAUGCACGAAGGCUGCGAAAUAAAAUAAUAUACAGAGAGACGGUUGUCACACCCCAAAUCGUACUAUGACCUUGGGUAGAGUCACUCGAAAAUUAAAGAAAUUUGACAAAUAAAUGUUUAAUCAUUACUCUUGCAAUUCUCUUGAAAAUGUAGGUAAAUCUACAACAUCUCAAUUGUUAAGCUCGAAAUCAAGUGGACAUGCAUAGACUGUGUCCCCUUCAAAUGAUGCUUCUUAUGUCAUUGUUGUAAUUGAGAAACUCUCCAUCUUUGUUAACAAACAGUACUUUGAAUCAGAAUCAUGUGAUGAGUGACUUAUACCAGCACUCUUGAAAGUAUCAUAUAAUGUUGGUAUAAAUUUUAGACUUGGGAUCAAACUCCCUCAUCUCUAGCUUUGUCGAACGCUUUUUCUUAUUUUCUUCUUCAAGCCUAAUCUUAUCAUAUACGAAUGACAUUUAGCUCAAAUCAAACAUCUCAUCAUUGCUCGAUGUGUUUAGAAGUGUUUCUAAGUUUGAUUCAAACAAUAUCUUCCACUUCUCAUCACCCUAGUGAUCAUAACUUCCACUUUAGGCCCAUGUGACUUUAUUACUUCAUUUAUAGCUGCUUUCAUUAUAGUUGCAUGAACAAUUUUAAAAGAGCAAAAAUAGUAUUCUAAUGCUUCCUCUGUCGCCUCAACAUAUGGGGUUGAUACCGAUUUUGUUAUCAGAAAUUUUCCUCUCCCAUCAAACAAAUCACCUACUCAACAAUAAAUUUCAAUUUUGAUGCAAUGUGGAUGACAUCACCCCUACAGAGUGAAUCCAAGGACGUCCUAAUAAAAAACUGUAAGUAUGUGUUAUUUCCAUUACUUGAAAGACUAUAUUGAAAGUACAUAAGUCAAACUUGAUUGGUAAUUCAAUGUCACCCAUUACAUCUCUACGUGACCCAUCAAAAGCUCUCACAACCAUAGUGCUUGAUUUUAUGUGUGACAUGUCCAUUGCAAGCUUGAAUAGUGUAGAUUUAGGCAUUGCAUUAAGAGAUGAACCACUAUCCACUAAAACUCUUGCUAUUGCAUAGUCUUUGCACUUUACUUGUGUUGGAAUUUAUAUCCUAAAACUCGUAGAUUGUACAUAUAACUCAUUGACCGUUAUUAAGAAAGUGUUAUUUUUAUAAUUGCAAUAAAUAUUAUUGAUUAUAUUAAUAGUUUUGUCUUAAUAACCCAAAUCCAAUAAACUAACAUCCUAAGAUGUUUGAUGAGUCUUGAACAGUAUGUAGAGACAUAUAGAAAUCAAUGUUCGAGAUCAGCUUAAAGGGUCUAUAGUAUAAGGAUAAGAUUGGGUACCUUAUCUUGGUAACACUAUGGAUACGACUCACUUUGUAUUUGAUACAAAUGCAAUGAUUUCAUUUGUGUAGUUGAUAUGCAAGUGAAGGUAUCUUGCAACGGAUUUGCAUAAGACCAGACCAUAAAAUAGUAACCACUAGUUAUAACUCCGUUUACUAGUUAGGUUUCUAUUUCAUUAGGAUGACCUAGUUAACUUAGUCUUAAUCAUGAGUGUAUUAUGAACUCUUGUUCGCGAGAGAUUGUUCUUUGUUUUGUACAAAUGAGAGUGACCAAAUUUCCGACUCAAUAAUCUUAUUAUUUUGGGGACAAGAUCGAGUGGAGAGUUGGAAACAUAAUUUACGCAAGAUGAAAUUCACUCAUUUUCUACUUUAGGGUACGUAGAUGGUCCCUUAAAUGGUGUUUUUGGGACUUGAACAAAUGACCUUACCCUCUCUAUGAUACAAGAGAAAUUUAUGUUUAUUGGUUGGACCAUAAACAUGUUGUUCAUUAGAGAAGCACAUGUACUUAAAUAUUAGAGGUAACCCAAGGAUCAAAUGGUAAGUUGAUCUAGCUGGUAUUACAAACACUCGUGAAUAACUAACUUACUGUUAUUGGUCGAUAUCCGUGGACACAGAAAUAUAUCUACAGUGAGAAGAGUUCAGCUAUGAGUCUUUGGUGGAAUGUACACACAGUUAACGAAUAUUGAUUAAUGUAGUUAAUGAGUUUAGCCAAUUAAUCUCAGAUUGUUGUAGCUUCUGAUCUAUAGGUUCAUUAGAUCCCCUAGCCUCUAAAGGGUAAUGAGAUUUAUUUAUGUUGGUUGUAAUUUGAAAUGUUCAAAAUUACUUUGAAAAUUAGUUUAAUGUAUAGUGAUACAUUAUAAUAUAAAGGUUGUCAAAUUUUUUUAUAUAAAUUUAAUUUUGGAUAUGAUUCAAAAUUAGUUUAUGAUAAAAUAUUUGAAUGAGUUCAAAUAUUAAUUUAAUAUGAAUUGAAUUCAUAUUAAAUUAUCUGUUAUGAUAUAAAUUUAUAUUUGAAUAUGAUUCAAAUUUAAUUUAGCUAUUAAUUAAUUAAUAGUUAUUUUUAUUUUAUUUAAUUAAAAUAAUAUAAAACUAUAAGAUAUCGGAGAGAUAUUCAUUAAAUAAGAUUUAAAUAAAAUAUUAAUUAAAUAUGAUAUAAUUAAUUAUUAACUAAUUGAUUAAGGGUUAAUUAGUUAAUAGAUUUAAAAUUUUUAUUGAUUUAAAAUUUUUAAAUUAAUAGAAUCACAAGAUUAUCUCCUAGUCCCUGAAGAAAAGAGAGUUAUAAAUAUGCGAAGGAAAAUUGUUUUUUGGUAAAAGAGUUUCUCUAAACAAUCUCUAAAUUUUUUCACAUACCAAUUGGUUCUCACAAACCAAUCUUAUCCUAGAGGAUAAGAAGGUCACCGACGGAUAGUGUCCCAAUUUGGAGAUUUAUUUUGUAGAUUCAGAGACGUCAAACAAGUAAAUUUUUCUCUCUCUAAUCUAUAAUUAGAAAACAUACUUAGCCUUUAAGUCUUAAUAAAAAAUUUUGUUUCUAUAUCAUUUUGCCAAUGUACUGAUAUUUUAGAAUUUCCAAAUUAAAUUGAGGAAUGAUUUUGUAAAAUCCUCCGUUGUCAUGGACUUUUAUCCCUUCAACUUGAAUAUGCAAUGCUUUUGUAUGACUUAAACCUUCAAGAGGAAAGUCAUCAUCCGUGAAGACUAUGAAAUUUGAAGACGUAAUGUUUCCAAUAAUGUUGUUAAACUUUUUCAUUCAAAUGUCAUGUCCAACUUGUGUCUUGUUCAAAAUAUCUAAUAGCACUUUGCGAUGAGACUCUGAAUUAAAAAACAAAGAUAAUAAAGAAAUUCGAGCUGGAGUAUGAUGCAUUUCCUCUAUGAUCUUAUACUUAUAUACUUUGUUUUACUAUUUUCAAGAAUUUAUUUGCUUCCUCAUCCGUAAUAGGCUUCUUGUAUUCUACAUCUUUUGCUAUUGAUAGAUAUCUCUACAUCUUGCUCUUUGCAAUGUUCAUUCACAUUUCUUCUCUAAUUUUUCCUCUAUUGCCCCAUUAUAAAACUACUUGAAGGAGCUAUUAAAUUAUCUAGUUUGUAACAUCUUCCACUUUGAGUUAUCUCGAUGAUUUCUGUAAGAUUAUAAACUGAAGGACCUGUAUUAAUGACAACUUGAAAAUCAUAUCGUCAUGACACUGCUUUCACAUUCUUAAACUUGAAAGGACUCGGUACUGGAUCGUGGGUUAUUUAGGAUUGUAGGAAGUUGACUCAUUACGACUUUCUUGAUAAAAGACCGUCAAAGGCCUUGGUAAAAAGGAUUUUUCCUUUUUUGCAACUUCAUCCAUUGAUGCACAUAUUUUAUUGUCUUUUAUCUCAUCAUUUCCUUGUCCUCUGUAUGAGUAUAUUUGAAUCCAUAAGUUGUUGUACUUUAGAUCUGAAUUUACAACACAGUUAGACAACGUGACUUGCAACUCUUUGAUGAAAUAUACAAUGUAUGUUUCCAUCGUAUCCUUCAUUUCUUAUGUUGGGGUCUAAAUAUUCCUGACUAACAUAUCCUGCUUCAAAAAGUGUUUUCAUAGACGUCACUAUCUCAUGAACUUUAUUUUUACACUUUUCAACAAGGCAAUCUACAACGUUCACUUUGAAUUUUCAUGAUUAGGCAGUGGAUUGUUGUUGACAUCCGGCUUCAACCAACUUUUUUGAAGCUUAACCAUCUAACAUUAAUUAAAGAUUGCACCUUUCUUUUAAAGGCCAAACAAUUUUCAGUUGAGUGUCAUGCUCCACCAGCAUGAUAAUCACAUCUAGCAUUUGAAUCAUACUAUUUUGGAUAAGGAGGUUGUAUAUGAUUCAUUGGAAUAAGAGCUAACUAUGGAUUUUGAAUUAGCUAGGGUAAAAACUCUGUAUAAGUCAUGGAAAUUGAAUCAAAAUCGCCAUGUAUCAGAGUUGGUCUUCCUACCAUGACCUUAUACAAAUGGUCGAUGAGAGUUUGAGUUAACAGGUUUUGGGGUUCCAAAGAAAGAGUGAGCUGGUACAUAGUUGUUAUAAGGGAUAUGAGAAACAUUGCUUAUAUAUGAAGAGAAAUUUUGGUCAUGUUUUCUUUGGCCAAAAAUCGAUUUGUGGUUCCCUAAAUUAGAAAACCCAAUUGCAUGAACCUCUCCUUCUUUCUUCUUAAAUGUUGUUCCUUUCUUUAAAUCCUCAUACUCAAUUGAAGCCUCUACUAACCUCCUAUGCUUUAUCUCAUAUUCAAUUCUUUCACCAAUAACAAUAAUGUCAGAAAAAUUGGUUGUAGUAUUACCAAUCCUUUGAUCAUAAAACAGAGCCCACAAAGUACUCAUAAACAUAGAUGUCAUUUCUUUGUCCGUUAAUGGUGGUUGAACCUCUGUAACCAUAUCUCUCCAUCAUUGAGCAUAUUCUUUAGAACUUUCUAAACUCUUCUUCUCCAUCCAUUGUAGGUCUAAACGAUCUGGUGCCAUAUUCAUAUCAUGUUUGUAUUGCUUUAGAAAUGCAUAAGCUAAGUCCUUUCAAACAUGAAUGUGUGCAUUAUCUAAUUGAAUAUACCAUCGAGUCAUUGGACCAAUCAAAUUGUCCUGAAAACAAUGGAUCAAUAAUUUAUCAUUACCAAUAUGCGCUGCCAUCUUUCUAUAGUACAUUAUAAGAUGACUCCUUGGACACUAUGAUCCAUCAUAUUUGUUAAAUUUAGGAACUUUAAACUUUGCUGGAAUUAUCAAAUCUGGCACCAAACACAAUUGUGUUGCAUCUAUAUUCUCAUAAAUGUCAAUCCCUUCAACAUUUCAAUUGCUUGCAACCUUUCUUCCAAAACAUCUAGUUUUUGCUUAGCCGGAGUGUUCUCAUUUUGUCCCAUGUCUUGAAUUUUAGUCUGAGCUUCCAAUUGUUAUAUUUCUGGAAUAGGAGGUGGAAUAGCAAAAAGCGAAUUCAUAUCAAUAUAGUAUUGCAUGGGUAAAUCUUGGAGGAUAAAUGGGAUCAUCGGUGUCUUGAACUCGAUUGCUUGAUUGUGUUGUAUCUACAACGACUUUCUCUUUUUUUUUAUUGAAAGCAAUUCCAGUAUUUUUGAAACUUGUUCCUCAAGCUUAUUAAUCUCUUAUCUCAUUUUAUCCAUGUCUUUAUCUUGUUCUUCCAUGAUUCGAUUUUUAUGCCUCAUAUGGUAAGGAUGUUGAAUUGAAGUAGGACGAGUGAUGUUUUCAUUUGAUGAUUUUGAAAACUUUAAAAACCAAAGAGAAAGGGAGAAAGAGAGAGAGAAAAUUUAUUAAAUAAUGAAUUCAAAUACAUUAAAGCCAAACAAAAUAUAAACCUGACAGAAUAAAAAUCAAACUAAAACAAAAAACAAACAAAAUGUAAUGAACACUCUCAUUUGUCAUUAAUUGCAAAAUAAGCAAUUAAUGAAAACGAUCAAAAUGCCCAAGUCCUCUACAUAUCAUCUUCAAAAUCCUAUUCAGAUCAUCUGCAUGAGGUUGCAUUGAGAAAAAAUUAAUCCUUAAAUUAGCUGCCCAUUCUGUAAAACUAUUUGCUCUUCUAGACAUUAUUUUGAGAAAUUUAAUCGUCUAAUCUACACAUUCAACUAACACCUGGAAAUCUUUUCUUUGCAAAAUCACAAUCAACCUUCACUUGCAUGUAAUCUGUCUUUAAUAAUUCGUAUUCUUGUACUAUCCCCUCACUUGAAUUUUGAAAUGCAAUAAGUUGAUAGUGUAAGGAAUCAACAUAAUUUUUCAGUAUUUUAUACUUUUCAGAGUACUCAACUAUCUUCACAUGUGGGUUAUCAUUUGUUUGAUGUAUAGAGUGAUUGUGUGCUUCCAAAUCUACUAUAUGUGCUUCCUGUUUUCCAAAUGAUGUAUUCAAAUCAUUGACAACUCGAGAAAAUAUCCUUCUCAAUUUCUAAAUCUUUAAUAUAUUCAUCUUGCGAUUCUAUUGUUGCCUGUAAUGUUGUCUUUUCAUUUUUCAAGCUUCUAUUUGCUUUACUCAUUUGCCUAAUCUCUUUAUCUAACACCUCAAAAUUCUUUUUUAACUUAUCUUGAUUUCUUAAGAAACUCUUGGUCUUUUCGAGCUCUUUCUACAAAAAAGUCACAUGAUCACUCAAUUGACUUGUCUCUUUACGAAGUUUCUCAUUCUCUUGCUCUAACAGUUGAUUUUUCUCUUAUAAUUUUAUGCUCUUCUCAGCCCACUAGUUUGAUUGUUCAAAGCUUGUCUCUUAUACCCUUUCAAUUGAUGGAAACGAUAGACAUGCGCAGCAAAAUAAAGAUCGAAUUUUACUCUAAUUGCAACUAAACAAGUUUAGUAAUUAACAUGCAUAAAAAUAAAACCCUAAAAUAACAUAGAUAGGGUUAAAAGAAAAACUUACCUUUGAAGUUUUUCUUCUCUUGUAUUCUCUUCACGAAUUUGAAGUCAGCACAACCACUAGAGUUUACCUCCUAUUCUUCGGACUUGGAACCGAGUUGUGGGACUAAAAAAUGGUGGAGGAAAUAGAGAGAGAUUGAUGAUAUCCUUUUGAUGAAAAAAUCUCAAAUGAAAAGAGUUCUUGGUCUUAUUUUGUAAUUCUCAAUUACAAAAUUAAUUUUCAAUUUCAAAUCCAAGAGUCCUUUCACAUUUGCAUAAAACUUGUUUACAAACAAACUACAUGCAAGAGCUUCCGUAUCUCACCACUUGACAUUCUUAGUGGGGUAGGUGUCUUACAUGCAAUAAGCCACUUGCAUACCACAUGCAAGUGAUAAGCUUGUCAAAUCUCAACCAAUGUUAUUAUUUAAAUUAGUUUAAGGUCAAUAUGGUAAUUCAACAUUUAAAUCAAAUUCAAAGUUUGACUUUUUCAAGUCCAAAAUCAACAUUUUAUCCGUCUUGACUAAUUUCAACCUCCCAAGCAUGAAUCCGUAUUCAUUUCUCCAAAAUUCAAAUCACAUUUGAAUAUAAAGUUAGUCAAAUUUUGAUUUUUCAAAGUCAAAAGUCAACAUUUUAACUUUUUACAUCUUUGACCUUUUUCAUCAAUUCUAAGCUUCCAAAUAUGAAUCCAUAUUCAUAUUUAAAUCACAUUUAAACAUGAAGCUCUAUCUUAAGUUAUAACUUAUAACUGUAUCAAAUAUAUUUGUCGGUUUCUCUCUAUUUACCUAAUUCAAACAAUUCAAAUUAUUCCAUCAUAAUGUUCUAAGUUGAUUCCUUAUGAACUAGCGGGGGAACCUAAUGAACCUAUAGAUCAUAGACUCCAACGUUCAGAGAUUAACUGACUAAACUCUUUAGACUGAGUUAAUCAAUCUUCGUUAACUAACGGGUCAUUAUACUAAAAUCCCGUAGUUGCACUCCCCUGACUAUAGAUAUAUUUGUGUCCAUGUGAUAUGACCAUGAUAAGUAAGUUAAUCCUUCAUAGGUUGUUCAUAAUCUCGACUGGGUCAAAGUACCAUUUUACCCCUGAUAUUAUAUAUUUUCUCCUUAAGUCCCACUGAUCCACUAUUGAACAAUUGGUUUAAGGUCCAACCUUUAAACCGAAUCCCUCUCGGGCCAAUGAGAGGGUGGGACCCCUUGUUCAAGACCUAGAUUUAGUUCUUAAGGAAACAACCUAUCUACUAACCCUAAAGUGGGUAGGAGUGAAUUCCAUCUUGCACCCUAUGUCCUUAGCUAUCCACCCAAUGUUACCCUUGAAAUGAGAGGCUUAUUGGGCCAGCACUAUUGAGUUGCCCUCACCUAUGCAGAUCUAUGAAUAAUCUCGUGUGAACGUAAUUUUAUAGUUAGCUUAGGAUUAAGAUUAAGUUACAUUGGAUAUCUAUAAACGAAAUAGUCAGUUUUACAAAGUUAACGGUUUUAUAACUUAAAAAUGACUAUUUCAUGGUUCCAAUCUUAUGUAAACUCUUUACAUAGGAUGCCCCAACUUUCAUGUCUCUACAUGAACGAUUCAGGAUCAUAUCGUUUAUACUAACUACAAAGUAGGCCGCAUCCAUAGUGUCCUCAAAAUAAGGUGCCCAAUCGUAUUCGUAUACUAUAGACGGUUUAGGCUAUAUACUCAAACUUGGUCCACAUUUAUGUCUCUACAUAAGGUUCAAGUUUACUCUAUUAUAGCAUUGAGACCUUAGUUUAUUGGCUUUAAGAUUAUAGUAUCAAUAACGACUUAUUGAAUAGAAUAUGAUUAUAAACCACGAGUUUUGGGACAUAAAUUUCAACAUCAACUACAUCCCUUAAGGUAUCUAUUACAUUUUUCCUUUUGUUUGCUUGCCAUGCCUCGUAUUCACUGGUAACUCCUUCAUAGUAUCAUUUUCCUUUUAUCUUCCUCACAGACUUCCAUGCACAUACUACUCGAUAUUUUUUUCUUGACAAUCUUCAAGAUCGUAUGAAAAGUCAGAGUCCUGUAGAUUAUGAGUUGGUGGUAUAAACUGUUUGAGCCACACUUGACACAAAACUAACAAUGGUGUAGAGUUAACACCUUCUUGUGGUCCCAACAAAGGCACACUAUGAAAAUCUCCACAUCUAUAAAUCAUCGCCUUCAAAGGCAUCCAUUGAGCCUUCCAUAUGACAUUUUCAAAACUCAUUGUUGAAAAGAAAGACACCCAACCCAAGUCUCCAUCCUUAGAUAUGUUGGGUCCCAAACUGCCAUACCAAACUCACUAACAACGUUCCACAAUAAAUUUCAUGAUCUACUAAAAUCUAUCCUUGGACGCCUAAACUCUGCUAGAAAUUUAAUAUGGUUGUGUAUCCAAAUAUAUAAUAAAAGGACACAACAAUUCAAUUUUUCUUCCCAUUUAUUUCUACAAUAGGUAAGAGAUUGAAAAGUUUAAGCCAAUAUAGGUAUAAUAGGAUCAACUCCUCGUUCUAUUUUAAAAAAUAAUCUGAUCACUUUCUCAUAAACAUAACCCUAUACUUUAGGAAAAAUCACCGCUCCAUAAAUGCACAACGCUAAGAGAGUAAAACAUUUGUCUUGAUCAAUGUAAGUUUGUGCCAUCUUUAUUAAAUAGUCAAACGACACAUUCUCCUCCAAACCCUGAACUUUUACAUGCUUUUGAAUUUCUGUGGCAUGGACGGUUUCUAAAAACUUUGAUAAAGUCCUAUUUGUUAUUUGCUUAGGGUUAAAGAAAUUAAUAAUAAUUUCCCUUUUUUUUUCAGGCAUGCUAAGCAUAGCGUGAUAUUCUUCUAUAGUUGACAAUAAAUCACACAACCCAAACGUGAAACAACCGUAUCUGGAUUCAAAUAUUAAUUAUGACUCUUAAAGCAAAAUAAUUCACCGGUAUGUACAUCAACUCUACUGUAUGUCCAUACUUCUUUGAAAACAUGAAUCUUCGUUGAGGUGUCAAUGCCUCCCAGAUCAUCUUUAGUUUCGCUAAAUCAUUUUGUGUAGAAGAGAGCUGACACAUGGAUAGUACUAAUACUUGAGAAGAACUGUUUAUGCUAUCCUAAAUUUUUGUUGCAUCUCUUUAGUCCAUUUCAGAACAUUGCUUGACUCAUCAAACUUAGAUUCAAAAGGUGAAUGCAUCGACAUAUUAGACAACUUGGCAUUUCAAUACUAUUACUUUUUUGCACAAUUAUGAUAAAAAAAGACAAAAAUAAAAACAUAUAGUCAAUUCACUUCACACAAAAAAGUAAAAAAUAAAAAGAAAAAGAAAAAAAGAAAAAAAAAGAGUAAAUAAGGUUUUGAUGCACUUGUAAACACUACUCUUCUUAUUAUUUUUUAAACAAAUAUUUAAUUUUAGAAAAUGUAAAUGUUUUCAUGCACUUAGAAGCACUACUCUUCUUAUUAUUUUUUUAAAAAAUUAUUUAAUUUUAGAAAAUGAAAAGUUUUCAUGCACCUCUACCAUGUAAACACUCUUUUCCUCAUUUUUUUUUUUUUUUAAAAGUCAUUUAAUUUUACAAAAAGAAAAGUUUUCAUGCACCUGUUCAAGGUAGACGCUACUCUCCUUAUUGUUUUUUAAAAAUAUUUAUUUAAUUUGAAAAAAAAUGUAAAGGUUUUCAUGUACCUCUACAAGGUAAAUAUUAUAAUGUUAUUCCCUUAUUAUAAUGUUAUUUAAAAAGGGUUGGUAUCAUUUAAACUUCUAGAAGGGAAAUGCCCUCAAACUUAUUAUAAUGUUAUUUAAGAAAUAACAAAAGAAUUAAUCUGAUCGAGGAUCUUUCAUGUGAUUGUAUAAAAGUCGAAACCCCUCGAAGGUCAACACUACUCCCUCCUCAAUUCUAGUCCUAUAAGGUUGUAGCCCGAGUAGAGGGCUUGUGAAUGUGUAAAAUGCAUGAUGAUAUAUAUAUAAAAAAACAGACCAAUAACAUAGUACAAAUUAAUAUUCCAUAUGAAUCAAAUCAAAAAACAAAUAAUUAAGUGAACCAACAAAUCAUAAUAGACUAAGAAUAAAGGAUAAAAAUAUAACGAUUUGUCUCUCUUAAACACUUUUUAAGUCCACAAUGGAAUCGUCAAGUUGUUGCGACUUGGUUGCAAUGCGCCAAUGUUCUCGUUUAUUUAAUUUUAAUAAAUAAAUAGGUUUGGAGCCACCACCAACUAAGGUGUGAUUGGUCACCCAAAAAUAAAAAUGGUCUACCCAAAUUCAUGAGAUGUAACUUCGAGAGUCAGUUAAGUGUAGGAAAUGUGUUAGCACCCUACAACACCCAUUAAAAUGAUUACCAAAAUUUAUCUUUUAAACUAAAUUAAAAAGGUUCACAAAACAAAAAUUUUUAUUUUGUUUUUUUAAAUGUCUCAUUGUUCUCAAUUCACGUGAAAGAAAAUAAAACCUAAACCUUAAUUGAUAAUUAUGGGUGACAUAAGAGUCAUUAGAAAAAUAAAUUUUAUUUUUUUAUUUUAAAAGAUUAUUUUUUCAUUUAUUGACCUCAAGAAUAUUAAAAUAUCAAACUUUGAUAUUUUAUUAUCCAUUAUAGGUGUCUAAUGAGAAAUUCCAUGUAUCUAAGAAUUAAUAAAUUCAUAAAAAACACUACUCAGUUCUCAUUUAAAAUUCUCAUUUAAAAUAUAAAAUUAUUUAUGAUUUUAAAGAUAAUUUAUUAAUUAAAUUUCAAAUGAAGAAACUUAAUCAUGAAAUUUAAGUUAUAAAACCCAUAAAAAAUAUUGCUUCUUCACUAAUUUAAAAUAAUAUGUAGUGAGUCUGUGAAAUAAAAUAAUAUGUAGGGAGAGAAAUAAAAUAAUAUGAAAGGAGGUUGCGAAAUAAAAUAAUAUAUAGGGAAUCUCGGUGUGAAAUAAAAUAAUUAUAUGCAGACAUGUUGUGACAAAAAAUAGUAUAGUGAGAUAAAUAACCGCAAAUAAAGAACACAAGCAAACAAAUAAAUAAUGCAUGAUGCCAAAUAAAUAAUGCACGAUGCCAAACAAUAAAUUUGAACUCAUGAUACUUAAAUUGACCUAAAUCUAAAAAACCGUUGAACCACGUAAUAAGUCUGGCAUAAAUAAAUUUAAAAUCACAAUGCCCAAAUAAAAUUAAUAUGAAAAGUAGGUAGUAAUGUAUGAAUCAUUUAAUUGGGAGAAGAAGUGAAAAAUAGCACAAAGUUUCUUCCUAUCUUCUCAACCCUCCCAAUUGACAACUAAUGGAAACAAUUUUCUUUUGCACCUCUCGCAACAAAAUCUUCCCCUCUAUUUUUUAUAGGGGAUAAGGUGAUAGUUUUUUAGAGAGAAGGAAGUGAGUCAAAGGCAGAGGAAGUGUUGAUGGAAAAAAAGAUCGAGAGAAAAUGGAGAGUAGUGCAUAUUGAGAGUGGUUAAGGAAAAAUAGGAAGAAGGUAACGUGAGAUUUUUCCUAUAUUUUUUCUUUUUUCAUUUUAAAAUAAUUCAAAUUCAUAUUUCUUUUAACAAAAUAUAAUAAAAUAAAUUAAAGUAAAUAAAUGAAUCUAAAGAAAAUGAAGGACAAAAUAUGUUUCCUUUAAAAUUAUUAUUGUAAGCCACUCCUUCCAAUUAAGCAUUUAUUGUUCUAACUUAUUGAGUUUUCUCUUCCUUAAUGCCUUUGAUUCAAUAUAUGAUAAGACAACUCCAAUAAAGUCAUGGUAUGAUAGGUAGUCCCUUGUUAGAAGUAUACCACACACUCCUCGUGGUGGAUCGUGACAAUGCCCACAACCUUACAAAAUGUUUUAAAGUUGUUGACGUUAGAGGAGUUUUCUUUUUAUUACAUUAUGUGUUUCGUAUCAUUAUUAUUUCAUUUAUUCCAUUAUGUAAAAAAAUGAUUUACAUAAAAUGUGAACGUGAAAUCAAAUUUCAUUACGAUCACACAACAUAUGCAGCCCAGACAAUAAACUUAAUCGUAAAAAAGCUGCAUUUACAUGAUUCUAUUGUUUUUCAUACUAUAACUAUCUUUUUUUUUCAUAUAAAUAUUUAAAUUUUUAGUUAAAUUCUAUAUUUUUUUAACUACUUUUUUUAGUUAACUCGAGUGUUUGAAACAUGGAUAAUAAAACAAAUAAAUCUUCUUAACAAAAAUAGCGUUUACCAAACUUAAGUUCUAAAACCAAAUUAAAAGGUUUAUAGUCCAUGACUACACACAAAUUAACUAUAAACAACUGAUGUUAAAAUUUAUUAAAUAAGACAUACAUAAAAGUCCCAUAUAGUCCCAUAUAGCUAAAAUGAAAAAAGUCAUAUAAACUACACAUGGAUAAAAUUGGAAUAGUAAAAACCUUUGGAAACAAUUAUCCGUAUGAUGAUCAUUUCAAAUAGAUUCAAAGCCUUGAUUAAAUAUAGCAACAAAAGCUUCCAUUUCAUCCCUUUCCUUAACAACACCAAUCUCCAUUACCGCAUCACUAUUUCUACUAUCAGUCAAAGAAAAAAAAUAUGGUGAUUCAGCUGACACAAUCUCCACUUUCUUUGGCUUUCCAAAUCCAAAAUCAGCGUUAUAAACUCCAAAUCUUGGUGAACCAGCUAGAGAAAUGGCUUGUGUUUCUGAAUAAUCAUAUGUCAGUUGGCUCAUUAUUGACCCCCAAUUCUCACACCCAUUUAAAGCUCCACCAUCCAAAUUUCUAAUAGCUUUUGAAAUCUCAUCACAAGCGAAAAUUAUUCCAUUUUCCCUCAAAAGCUCAAACCUUUCAAGACGAACAAAUCCAGCAACCAAACAAUUCCCAAAGUAAUUCAAUGGCACUUGUGGCUUUAAACGAAUUCUGGCAUCAGCUGCAAACACAAACCAUAAUUCUCCUUCUUUUAAACCUUCUAAUUUGGCUGUACAAACACAAAGAUAAGCUGUUGCUAUUGCAAAUGAAGAUAUGUCAGAAGAAGAAGAAUCAAAAUUUUCGUUUUUGAUCUUCUUGUUCAAGAUCCAUUCAUUUAGCUUUUGAAUGUUUUGGUGUGUGAAUUCUAAAGUGCUUCUAAUUAAACCAGGUAUUGUUUUGGGGAAUUUAAGGUUUAAGCUUCUGUUGUUGGGUCCUUCUAUGUCUUGCCAUGCCUUUGCAUAGAGUUUUGCAAAAUCUUUUGGAUCAUUUAUAAUUGAUCUAUCAUAUAAUGGCAUUUGCUCCGAGAUUGGUACAGAGGAUUCUUCAAUGCACAUUUGAGCCCAUGAUUUGAUAAAUGAAGUUGAGCUUCUUCCAUCUAAGAUUGCAUGGUGAUGGGUUAUUCCAAUGGAAAAACCUUCGUUUUGAAAUUUAGUUACCUAUAUUAAGAAUAUAAAUAAUUUAUAUAUUGUAUAUAUGCAAAUAUAGCAAUCACCUUUAAAUAGUUAUAUAUAUAAUACAAUACAAUGCAAAAUAAGUUUUAUAUAUAUAACAAAAUAUUGGAAUAUUCAAUCAUUAAUAAUAGUCUAUCACUAAUAUUGAAAAUAUAAAUGAUUAAGUAAUUGGUAGAGUUACAAGUAUUUCAAGAUAUAUCGUUAAUAAAAAAAUUCUAUUACAAUAGUGUCUAUCAGGUAUGAAUAUUUUGCUGUACUUCUAACUCUUUAACCAUGGUUAACUUAUUUGGCCAUAAAAGAUAUUUAUUAUAAUAAUUCUUAUAAUUACCCGUAAUUAAAUAAUACCUUAAUGGGUUAGUACUUAACCAUGCAUUAUUGAAGUCUUUAAUGCAGUACGUUAUUUUUCCUUUCAAUUCAGUCCUUUAAAAAAGUUUCAAUUUAGUAUUUUUCUUUUUGUUUGUUUCUCAAUUUAGUCUAUGAUGAUUAGUGAAUAAUGUCAAGAAAACUUUUAAAAAGAAAAGAAAAAGUAGUAAUUUCAACUAAUUUCGUAGAAUCAAAUAGGGAGAAGAAUUUAGAAACUUUCCCUUUUUAAUGACUUUUUUUUUUCUUUUAAAUGCCUUUGUACCAAUGUUCUAAUAAAUAAUGUCACUAAUAUUUAUAUAAUUUAAAUAAUAGUUUUUUUCAACUUAUUUGAAAAUAAUGUUUACUAAUUUUGGUGUUUCUGAGUGGUAGGUUUUUAUAACUUUUUCACACAUAUCCAAGCACCCAAUAAAAAUGUGGCACGUGACAUUUUUUUAAAAAAAUAAAAUGAUCGAUGAGUGUAAAAAAGAGUGAGAGUAUUCAAUUAAUCGCACCUAUUUAUUCAUAUACACGUAAUUUCUCGAAAGUAUAUUCUCUAAAAUUAAAAUACAUUAAACACAAUGAAUGAAAUCGAGAACUUUUAAAAGACGUUUAGAUCAGGGAGUUUGUUAUUAUAAUCUUAAAUUAUGAUAGUUCAAUUAUAAUAGUUUACAACCUAGGUGUAGAUUAUAAUUUUAGUCUGGUUUGAACUAUAAUGUUAACAAUAGUAAAUAUUACAUAAAAGAAUUUUAAUGAUUUACUUAAAAAAAACUAUAGAGAUGGACAAGUUUUAUAUUAUUUUGUGGGAAUGAGGCAUAACAUCUUUUCACCAUAUUUGGUGUAAGUUUUCAAUCUUGGGAAUGAUAGCAUCUUAUUCCAAAGGCAUUUCAUAUUCUCUUUCCAUGCAGAUUUUUCAUAACCUUCCAAAUAGGAUGAUUUCUCUCUCUCUUACUUCUUAUCUUUUUCAUUUUAUUUAUUUUUCCUUCUUUCUUCUUAUUAUUUAAUUCAAACAUUUUUUAUAAAUAUUUCUAAACUAAGCCAUCUAUAAUUGACAUUUGUAUUCAUUUUUAUUACUAAUGAUGCUAAUAUAAUAAUUUAUUCUAUUUUAUGAAUUACAAUAAUUAAACAUAAUUAUAAUUGCUUAAUUUUUUUCGACACCCUAAAUUGUUUUCAAAUACAAGAAAAAAAAAUCAAUCAAAAUAUUUACCAAACAUAUGUUUAAUAGAAUUUGAUAUUUCUUUUAUAUUCGUAGAUAAGUCGGCAGCUUUUUCAUUCGCAAUAAUUUUCUUCAAAAAUUUUAUACUUAAUUUCAUAAAUUAAGUACAAAUAUAGUUUUUGUUAUUCUCAUCCAUUUUUUUUCCAAGCAUACAUAAAUUUUUACAAACAUUUUUGAAAAACUUAUAAAAAAAUUAAAUUAGUAAAUAAAAUAAGUAAUUUAUUAUUUUCAAAUAAGUACACAUACGUAUGUUUUAGAUUCGUGAUAUUUUGAUGCUUAUAUAAAAGAGAUAUUGAUUCAUCCAUUGAAAACAUCUACAUGUAGAUGCAAAUUUGAUACCAAUUAAUUAUUACCUACUUUAAGAAUUUGUGGUUAAGUACCUGAAUAGCAAUGACUGCAGCACGAUCAUGAAAGACAGGUAAUUCAGGAACAAGAUGAUGAAAUUCGGAAACUUUUCGAAACCCGUUACUAGAAAGAUGAUAAAAGUCACCGUCGGACUCCGCCACCGUCAUGGAAACCCCAUCGCCCUCGUGAAAUUCAAUGACGGGUACAUCCGAUUGCGAUGGCCAAACGAGGUUGCCAGCCAGAGGAAGAUAGUGUUGAAGAGUAAGAGACAAAGAGCUCUUGAGCUUCGGAACAAUGACAUCGUGAAACGAGAUCUCAUUCGAUGGAAAUUCAUAGAAAAAAAGACGUUGGGUUGGAAGAAACCUUAGCCACAAUAAAUCAAAGAAAGUGAGGGGAAGAGAUGACGGCACCACCGCGGCCGCCGGAGGAGGAGAGACUUUGCAGACGUCAAUUAAUUUUAGAGAAGGAAAGUUAGCCAUCGGAAAUAAAAAGAAAGUGAGGAUAAUUGUUUAGAUUUUUUCAAAACUUUGUGGUGCUUUAAAGGUACAAAAACGACUGAAAGAAAAUACAGAUGACGACGAAUUGGCUUUUGUCUUUGCUUUUUAAUCGUUGGAAAGGAAAAUCCUACAGAAUUGCAAAAAUAUCGGUAGUAUCAUUUGUAUAAUACAUCCAAACAUUUAUAAAAUAUAAUAAAGUUUUACUGUAUUUUAUAAUUAUUUUUAAGAGUUUUAUUCUUUACAAUCAUUUUCUCUACUACAUCUCAUAUUUACUAUAAAAUAUAAAUAUUUUGCUGAUUUUUAUAAAUUAUAUUUUUAAAUAUUUAUUUUAAAUAGGUUUUUUUUUAAUAAAAAAAAUAGAACUAAGUGACAAAAUAUUUACAACGUAUAAAACAAUUUCAAAAACGAAAAAAAUUCACAAAUCCACAUUAGAAAAUAUAAAAAAUGUCCAUAAUUAAUUGACAUCGAUAUAAUAUAUUUUGGAAAUCAUGGUUCAGUAUUUGAAAAACGAUCGUUUAAAUCAAAUAUAAAUCUAAUAAUUUUUUAAUAAUUUUUAUUUCACACAAUUUUUUAAAUUUGGGUUGCCAAAUCUCAAUCAUUUUUUUCAAUUUUUUGAAGAAAUGAUCGUUUAUAUUUAGUACAAAACGAUUUUAUUAACGAUUAUUGGUACACGAGCGUUUAAAUUUAGUACAUAAUUGUUUAAAUUCGUUUUUUUAAAGAUUGUUUUGGUAAACUAUCAUUUAAAUUAAAUUUGGUACAGAUCGUUUAUAUUUGGCUCUUUAAAUUUGGAAAGCCAAAUCUAAACGAAUUUUUUAAAAGAUUCUUUGAUAUUUAAAUUUAGCUAUACACGAUUGUUUAGAUUUAGUUAUAUAAUAUUUCAAUAAUUUUUUUUUACGAUCUUUUAUAUUUGUUCCACAGUCUAAACAAUCAAAUAAAAAAAAACAUUGUUUAUUUGGUACAUAAACUUGAACUAAAUGAAAAUCGAGAAAAAGUAUGCAAAUUUCGUUAUGAUUACAAAAUUUUGGGAACAACCCAAACAACAAACUUAAUCUAAAAAAGGGGCGGACUAUUUAGAUCAUUGCAUUUGAUUUAUUGUUUUUCUUACCAUGAUUUUCAUCUAAUUUUUCUCACAUGAACAUUUAAAUUUUCACCUAAAUUCUAUAUGAAAAUUAUAUAUUUUUUUAACUUGUUUAAAACAUUCCUAAAAAUAGAUAAUAUAAGAUAAUGAAUCUUCUCACUGCAAAAUAAUGUCAAAUUAAGAUGUUUAUAGCCCUUACCUACAAGCAAAUUAACAAUAAAUUUACAACAAAUUAAAUUUAUUAAAUCAGACAUGCAUAAAGUAAUAGUAUUUUAAACUAUUAAUUAAAUUAAACAUCAUUAUUAAAAAUGUAUCAAAACUCAAAAGAGCAACAAAUUAUUUGGAAACUAACAAUGAUCCCAAUGUUGAUCAUUAAAAAAAGAUUCAAAGCCUUGAUUAAAUAUAGUAACAAAAGCUUCCAUUUCAUCCCUUUCCCUAACAACACCAAUCUCCAUUACCACAUCACUAUUUUGACUAUCAGUCAAAGGAAAAACGUAUGGUGAUUCAGCGGACACAAUCUCCACUUUUUUUGGUUUUCCAAAUCCAAAAUCAGCGUUAUAAACUCCAAAUCUUGGUGAACCAGCUAGAGAAAUGGCUUGUAUUUUUGAAUAAUCAUUUGUCGCUUGGCUCAUCAUUGACCCCCAAUUCUCAGACCCAUUUAAAGCUCCAUCAUCCAACUUUCUAAUAGCUUUUGAAAUCUCAUCACAAGCCAAAAUUAUUCCAUUUUCACUCAAAAGUUCAAACCUCUCGAGAGAAGUAUACCCACCAACCAAACAAUUCCCAAAGUAAUUCAAUGGCACUUGUGGCUUUAAACGAGUUCUUGCAUCAGCUGCAAACCCAAACCACAAUUUUCCUUCUUUUAAACCUUCUAAUUUGGCUGUACAAACACAAAGAUAAGCUGUUGCUAUUGCAAAUGAAGAUAUGUGAGAAGAAGAAUCAAAAUUUUCGUUUUUGAUCUUCUUGUUCAAGAUCCAUUCCUUUAGCUUUUGAAUGUUUUGGUGUGUGAAUUCUAAAGUGCUUCUAACUAAACCAUGUUUUGUUUGGGGGAAUUUAAGGUUUAGGCUUUUGUUGUUGGGUCCUUCCACAUCUUUCCAUGCUUUUGCAUAGAUUUUUGCAAGAUCUUUUGGAUCAUUUAUAACUGACCUAUCAUAUAAUGGCAUUUGCUUGGGGGUUGGUAUAAAGGAUUCUUCAAUGCAAAUUUGAGCCCAUGAUUUGAUAAAUGAAGUUGAGCUCCUUCC